rnacentral:rRNA from 1 species
AGCGAACGCUGGCGGCAGGCUUAACACAUGCAAGUCGAGCGGGCGUAGCAAUACGUCAGCGGCAGACGGGUGAGUAACGCGUGGGAACGUACCUUUUGGUUCGGAACAACACAGGGAAACUUGUGCUAAUACCGGAUAAGCCCUUACGGGGAAAGAUUUAUCGCCGAAAGAUCGGCCCGCGUCUGAUUAGCUAGUUGGUGAGGUAAUGGCUCACCAAGGCGACGAUCAGUAGCUGGUCUGAGAGGAUGAUCAGCCACAUUGGGACUGAGACACGGCCCAAACUCCUACGGGAGGCAGCAGUGGGGAAUAUUGGACAAUGGGCGCAAGCCUGAUCCAGCCAUGCCGCGUGAGUGAUGAAGGCCCUAGGGUUGUAAAGCUCUUUUGUGCGGGAAGAUAAUGACG